UUAUAAAAUUUAUAUUUAUUCUACAGACAAAACAUCUGGCACUACAUUUCUAUCAACAGAAAUGUUGUUAUCACAGGAAAUACAAUCACAUUUGAUUUAAAGUAGAGACAAUUUCAACUCACAACAAUUUCUAAUCAUUUUCACAUGAUUCACAUUUGAUUACAUGUAAAAGACAAUUUAAACUCAUAAUAAGAUUUUUUAGUACAACUGGUGACUAAAUGUUACAUUAUUACUUCUUAUAUCAAUCAUUUUACACUAUCAGUGAUAUGAAUGUAAGUGAAAUGUAAAAAAAAAUAAUUUGAAAAUUUUCUUUCAGAAAAUGUGAAAAAAAUAAUAAUUUAUAUCCUUAACUAAUAGACUUUACUUUAACAAUACAAACUUGAUGUUAAUAUUAAGUUAAACUCAUUUUUUUCUCAAAAUUAUUUCAAUAAUUAAAAAAAUGUAUUAUUUCCAAAGCGUCAAAAAAUAAUUAGCUGAUUUAAUUUUUCUAGUGUGACAAAAACAUGAGAGCAUGGAGUCUUCUCAAAAUCGAAAUCUUUUAAGUAAAAUGUAAAAUGUUAAAUGUAAAAUGUGUAUUAUUACAAUGUAGCUUACACAACCCUGUAAUAAAUCUGACACAAAAUUGUUCAUUCUGUGAUAUUAUAACAAAAUAUAUAGCAUCCACAACAACUAGUUCAGCAUAAUGUCCAAAUAUUGUUUACAGAUGGAGAAUCAGGAAUGUUUAUUACUGUAUUUGGCUCAAAUUUCCAUUAAUUUUACAUCACAUAAGUAGUGUCAUGACAUAAUCAAACAGAAAAAUAUGUAUAACUUUCAUAUAAUUAGGCAAUAAAUUAGUUGCAAUGUCAACCAUGAUUAUAAAUCUCAGCUAAAUUUGACUGAAAUAUUAAAAUAGGAUAUUUUUUUUAUUUUUAAAUAUAAAUCAUUUCUUGCACAUAUUAAUUUUUUCAAUUAGUGUAUUCUUCCAAAAUAUAUUGUUUUGGGGAAAUAAGAGUGAGAUUUUAUUUUGAGGCAUAAAAAAUUGAUUCAAAAUAUUUUUUCUUUCUUUUAAACUAUACAUUAGUGUUGUUACAAUUCAAAAUAUAUAUUUUUUGUAAUGUAUUCAGAGCCAAAAGUCAAGAGUUUAAAAACUUACAAUAAUAAGGCCAACAUCAGAACUUCCAUGUCAAUUUGAAUAGCAAAUACAACAACAAGUCACAACCCUCAAUUUAUUUUUCAAAUUGUAUAUAAAUAUCUCUAUAUAAGAUUUGAAAUAUAAAUAAACAAAAUUCAUUUAAAAGUUAUUUCAAUAAAAAUAAAAUCACAAAUCACAACCUUGUUUUUUAUCACAAUAAUUUUUUUAAAUGAGCAAAUUUACAAUACAUUUAGUUUGUAUCAGCAAUGUGUGUGGACGGGAACGAUUAAAAAUGAGGUCAAUAUUACAAUAUAUUGAGUUCGUAUCAGCAAUGUGUGUGGACGGGAACGAUUAAAAAAUAAAGUAAAAUUUACAAUAUAUUUAGUUUGUAUCAGUAAUAUUUGGACGGUAAUGAUUAAAAAAAAAGGUAAAAUUUAAUACACAUUUAGUUUGUAUCAGCAAUGUUUGUGGACAGGUGUGAUUAAAAAUAAGGUAAACAUUAAAAUAAAUUUUAUAGAAUACAAUUUAAGUUAGCAGAACAUUUCAUACCUUAGUUGUAAACAGAAAUCCUACAAGGAUAAACAAAUUUUACAAAUUGGUACAUUUUUUUUGAUGAUUCAAAAAAAAGAAAUGCAACCUUAAUUUCCAUUAGUACAUGAAGCAUUGAAAUGUUCACUGCAAGACGCUAUCAGGUUAUCAUAAAUAUAUUAAAACCUAGUAAAACUUAUUCUCCCUAUCUAGCAUGUAUUAAAUGAUAAAAACAUAUCUAUUAUUAACAUAAAAAGUAAAAGUAACAAUAAACAAUUUAAAAUUUGGACGGAAACUAAUAAUUCAUAAAUAUAUAAAAAGUUGUAUAAUAAAUAUAUUCGGUCACAGUAUUCGAAUGUAAGAUAGAAGUCAUGAAUUAAAAUAAAUAGAAUUAGUAUACGGUGCAGUCCGGUGUAUCCGCUCACCUAAGACUUAUGACUUCACUUCAUUCAACUGAUAAAACCAAUAAAUGAAUAAUAUUAUGUGAACACAUUCAUAACAUAUUU
rnacentral:lncRNA from 1 species